UUCAGUCAUUCCUUCAUUUUCCCUCUACCCUUUUCUCUUCCCUUAUGUUUUCAAUCAUCGUCGGCGAUCGCGGGCUCCUCAAUAUUUUGCAGAAAGUAUCCGGAUCUGCUGCCAUUCGUCAUUUCUGUUCUGUUUCUUUUUUUUUUUUAUUGGUAUUGCCGUCGAUCACUGCCGUGGGUAGGUACCGAAGCUUCGUCUGUUACCUGAGCAUUUUCUUUUCCUUUCCUCCUCUCAGUUUGGCUAUAUAGUGGCUCUCUUCGUGCUCCUUUUUUGUUCUGUUUUACUGGGUUGAGGGAGGAGAAAAUUCACAUUUAUGCUGGAAAUUAUCUCAGAGGUUGAUAAUGAUAUACAUAGAGUCAACUUUGAAAUUAAAUUCAUUUUACUUAAAAGUGGUUCAUAAUGAAAAUUUGGUUAGGACAAAACUACAAGAGAUGAGAUAUGAAACCUGAAUAAUGAUGACAACAAAAUGGUUGUUGAAAUACGUGUUAGAAGAAAUUGAACUUAAUUUUUAAAUAUUUAUGAAGUCUCAUUAAUUUUUGUGGGAGAUAUGAAUUUUAAUUCAAUGAUGCAAAGAAUAUUUGCCUAUGAAAUUGAUAAUGUGAUUUUUGAAUUCUUAAAAAUGGAUAGUUGUUGAUGAAUUAUUGAAUGCUAGUAUUUUUAUGAAAGCAUUGGAAGUGAUUUAUGUUGGA